rnacentral:tRNA from 1 species
GGUAUCGUGGCGGAAUUGGUAACGCGCCUGUUUGUUAACGGGUAGAUUGCAGGUUCGAAUCCUGCCGGUACCA